GACGAACGCUGGCGGCGUGCUUAACACAUGCAAGUCGAACGGAAAGGCCCUGCUUUUGUGGGGUGCUCGAGUGGCGAACGGGUGAGUAACACGUGAGUAACCUGCCCUUGACUUUGGGAUAACUUCAGGAAACUGGGGCUAAUACCGGAUAGGAGCUCCUGCUGCAUGGUGGGGGUUGGAAAGUUUCGGCGGUUGGGGAUGGACUCGCGGCUUAUCAGCUUGUUGGUGGGGUAGUGGCUUACCAAGGCUUUGACGGGUAGCCGGCCUGAGAGGGUGACCGGCCACAUUGGGACUGCGAGACGGACCAGACUCCUACGGGAGGCAGCAGUGGAGAAUAUUGCACAAUGGGCGGAAGCCUGAUGCAGCAACGCCGCGUGCGGGAUGACGGCCUUCGGGUUGUAAACCGCUUUCGCCUGUGACGAAGCGUGAGUGACGGUAAUGGGUAAAGAAGCACCGGCUAACUACGUG
rnacentral:rRNA from 1 species